UACAGAGGUCUCAACCGUUGUUCGGAUUCAUUGGGCGUAAAGGGUGCGUAGGCGGCGGGGUAAGUCAGGUGUGAAAUCUCGGGGCUCAACCCCGAAACUGCACUUGAUACUGCCUCGCUUGAGUACUGGAGAGGAGACUGGAAUUUACGGUGUAGCAGUGAAAUGCGUAGAUAUCGUAAGGAAGACCAGUGGCGAAGGCGGUUGCCUGGAGCUUUGCUGACGCUGAGGCGCGAAAGCGUGGGGAGCGAUCCGG
rnacentral:rRNA from 1 species